rnacentral:rRNA from 1 species
UACGAAGGGGGCUAGCGUUGCUCGGAAUUACUGGGCGUAAAGGGCGCGUAGGCGGCACUGUUAGUCAGGCGUGAAAGUCCUGGGCUCAACCUGGGAACUGCGCUUGAUACGGCAGAGCUAGAGGAUGGAAGAGGCUCGCGGAAUUCCCAGUGUAGAGGUGAAAUUCGUAGAUAUUGGGAAGAACACCGGUGGCGAAGGCAGCUCGCUGGAACGGUACUGACGCUGAGGCGCGAAAGCGUGGGGAGCGAACAGG